GACGAACGCUGGCGGCGUGCUUAACACAUGCAAGUCGAACGGAAAGGCCCUGCUUGCAGGGUACUCGAGUGGCGAACGGGUGAGUAACACGUGGGUGAUCUGCCCUGCACUUCGGGAUAAGCUUGGGAAACUGGGUCUAAUACCGGAUAGGAACCAUCUUUCGUGUAGUGGUUGGAAAGUUUUUUCGGUGUAGGAUGAGCUCGCGGCCUAUCAGCUUGUUGGUGGGGUAAUGGCCUACCAAGGCGGCGACGGGUAGCCGGCCUGAGAGGGUGUACGGCCACAUUGGGACUGAGAUACGGCCCAGGCUCCUACGGGGGGCAGCAGUGGGGAAUAUUGCACAAUGGGCGCGAGCCUGAUGCAGCGACGCCGCGUGGGGGAUGAAGGCCUUCGGGUUGUAAACUCCUUUCGCUAGGGACGAAGCUUUUUGUGACGGUACCUAGAUAAGAAGCACCGGCUAACUACGUG
rnacentral:rRNA from 1 species